CUGGGCACACAACCAGCGCAGGCCGGGCAGCUGUGUGCACACCCGGAGACCCGGCUGCUGCGUGGGAAACCUCUCCACAGCUGGAGAGUUUCUGAAGCAGACCAAAGGACAGUGAUGGCCCCGAGCAUACGGUGCUGAGCCCACCAUGGCAGCGUGGGGCAGCGCCUGCAGCACUGACAGCAGCUACACGCAGCCUUAUCUACCCCAGGUAACCAGAGGUGCUUGGCUCAUCCCAGCUCUCCGAGCACAGUCAUGCCACAACCUGCAUGCUGCUCUGCCCUGCCCAUGUCAUCCCUCAGCUAUCCAAAUAUGCUGGAGGAGUGAUUGCUACAUGUUGUUAAAUCCCGUAGCAACUCUCAGGUUCAAGGGCAAAGAGAGAAAAGAAUGCAAGAAAAUAGCAAGAAAUAGAUCAACAUGAAAAAGAAAGCACCAAUUUGGAAAGUGCUGUUGGAAUUUGACAGGAAUAACAGCCCACGGCCGCCCUCCCAGCAGCAGCUCAUUCACCUCUGGCAGCCACAUGUGGCCUUUCCACAGACAAAAAAAUACAGCGAAAACGUUCCUACCUUCCAUGAGGCCAAACCAGGGUUCCAUGGCUCUUCUCCAGGCUCUGAUAACAUCACCACUGCAAACACCGGAGAGAUCAUUCCAGCACAGAUACUACAGACACAUGCUCAGAUGCGCCGAGUGAGAACAUGCUCAUUGACAAGAUGAUGAAAUCCUCCUCUGCAAAGGAUCCUGACAGAUCUCCCUUAGACAUCUCCACACUGCAUUUCACAAGCAGAGAAACCUCAGGGACUACAGAUGCCACGUGGGAAGCGCCUGGGCAGCCGGCCGCACGCGAAACCUGGAUGUCUUCCUGCAAGCCCCUGGGAUAGCUGAAACCAGAGGGACAUUAAGCAGAAACCAUAAAGUCACAUUUCUGGAAUGCUUUAGUCAUCAAAGCUCUGUGCAAGUAAAUCUGCUGCACCUGGAGAAGAUGCACGGAGAUCUGACAGAGUGGGUAGCGGAGGAAUGCACUGUGGAGAGCCUGCAGGUCAUCCCCAGCACAGCCGGGACACCCAACCACACCUGUGUCUUACGCACGUCCACGAGAAGGCACUUCCAUAGAAGAUUUAUUUUCAGAAGCAAAGUGUUCCUGGCAGUGAUUUCAAAUCACACCGUAACAGCAACACCACCCAAGCAGAAAGCUUUUUCCAAUGGCUCAUCUACCCCACAUGUGCGCUCAGAGCAGCAGACUUCCCAAGAGAAAAUUCCAUCUGCAAAUGGCAAAGAUUCGCUGGUCAGACAAAAUAUAAGUAUCUUCAUGAAAGCGUUCAUCGUCUGCAUCCUGUUAGCGCCCAUGAUAUGCUAUACCAUAUUUUUCAUACAUGAAAUAAGCCACUUGUGUUCGUGCCCUGACUGGAUCGGCAGCAGAUGGAGCAGAAGCAAAUGCAUAUCUGCAGCCCCCACCCCAGUGGAUCACCAGUCAGGAACACUCUCAGCCCAGCUACCUGAGGACAGAAAGAAGUCAGUGCUAUGUUUUGCCUGACUCUCAGAAUCCCUUCCACAGAUCCUUACAUGAGAAGAUCCCAAAUUAUUGUCAUCCACAAAACCUACUUAAGAAAUGCUGCAGGCCUUAGAGAAACACUGUUUUUACAAACAAAAAAAAAAGCAUCAUCUUCCUCCUCACCACUUACUGGGAACAGCAGAUUGAACAUCAGCAGCUUAAAUAACCACAGCUUCAACCGCUGCAGACUGAAACCAGACCUAAUAUCAGAAGCAACAUUUACCUGGUUAGGAGCAAUCACAUCAAUUCACUGCGAAGCGAGGUGCUGUGAAGACACCCACAUGCUGAUUCCUUCCAUUAACUACCUGGAUUCAUGUUUUAAUUCCCAGAUACUAGAAAAACCUGUUGGCAUAAACAAUAAAUACUUCAUUG
ensembl:lncRNA